ACAAAAGGAACAACGACUAAGAACACUGCGUCCUGCGGAAACGUCGUUGUGACUACAAUCCC
rnacentral:sRNA from 1 species